GUCUUGGAGAGUUUGAUCCUGGCUCAGAGUGAACGCUGGCGGCGUGGAUUAGGCAUGCAAGUCGAGCGAUCCCGCAAGGGAUAGCGGCAGACGGGUUAGUAACACGUGAGCAACUUGCCCUUAAGACAGGAAUAGCUUCGUGAAAACGGAGGUAAUGUCUGAUAAUAUCCUCAGGUCGCAUGACCAAAGGAUUAAAGGUGGGGACCGCAAGGCCUACCACUUAAGGAUGGGCUCGCGUCCUAUCAGCUAGUUGGUGGGGUAAUGGCCCACCAAGGCUUAUGACGGGUAGCUGGUCUGAGAGGACGAUCAGCAACACUGGGACUGAGACACUGCCCAGACUCCUACGGGAGGCUGCAGUCGAGAAUAUUUAGCAAUGGACGAAAGUCUGACUAUGCGACGCCGCGUGGAGGAUGAAGGUCUUCGGAUUGUAAACUCCUUUU
rnacentral:rRNA from 1 species